CCUACGGGGGGCAGCAGUGAGGAAUAUUGGUCAAUGGCCGGAAGGCUGAACCAGCCAAGCCGCGUGAAGGACGACGGUGCCAAGCAUUGUAAACUUCUUUUGUCAAGGGACAAAAUCAGGCUCGAGAGCCUGACCGAGGGUACUUGAAGAAAAAGCAUCGGCUAACUCCGUGCCAGCAGCCGCGGUAAUACGGAGGGUGCGAGCGUUAAUCGGAAUUAUUGGGUGUAAAGGGCUCGUAGGCGGGAGGUCAAGUCAAGGGUGAAAGCCCCGGGCUCAACGUGGGAACUGCCUUUGAAACUGGCAGACUGGAGUGUGUAAGAGGAUGGUGGAAUGCGAGGUGUAGGAGUGAAAUGCGUAGAUAUCAUGAGGAACAUCGGUGGCGAAGGCGACUGUCUGGCACGCAACUGACGCUGAGGAGCGAAAGCGUGGGUAGCAAACAGGAUUAGAUACCCGGGUAGUC
rnacentral:rRNA from 1 species